GGGAGUCCCUCCCUCUAAAAGCACUCUGUGUGGGGAACAUGAGAGCCAGACCAAAGCUCAGAGCCCAGAGCUGUGGGGCGUACCAGGCUCAGCUGGACAUAACCCUAAAACUAAUCCAGAACCUGGACCUGAACCCAGCUGUGUUUCCUUAAAGA